rnacentral:rRNA from 1 species
CCUACGGGAGGCAGCAGUGGGGAAUAUUGGACAAUGGGCGAAAGCCUGAUCCAGCCAUGCCGCGUGUGUGAAGAAGGUCUUCGGAUUGUAAAGCACUUUAAGUUGGGAGGAAGGGUUGUAGAUUAAUACUCUGCAAUUUUGACGUUACCGACAGAAUAAGCACCGGCUAACUCUGUGCCAGCAGCCGCGGUAAUACAGAGGGUGCAAGCGUUAAUCGGAAUUACUGGGCGUAAAGCGCGCGUAGGUGGUUUGUUAAGUUGGAUGUGAAAUCCCCGGGCUCAACCUGGGAACUGCAUCCAAAACUGGCAAGCUAGAGUAUGGUAGAGGGUGGUGGAAUUUCCUGUGUAGCGGUGAAAUGCGUAGAUAUAGGAAGGAACACCAGUGGCGAAGGCGACCACCUGGACUGAUACUGACACUGAGGUGCGAAAGCGUGGGGAGCAAACAGGAUUAGAUACCCUGGUAGUCCACGCCGUAAACGAUGUCAACUAGCCGUUGGGAGCCUUGAGCUCUUAGUGCGCAGCUUAACGCAUUAAGUUGACCGCCUGGGGAGUACGGCCGCAAGGUUAAACUUAAAGUGAAUUGACCGGNNGAGAGNGCGAGACGACGACGAGGGAGGAGG